GUGAAUCAUCAAAUUUUUGAACGCAAAUUGCACUCUCUUCGGAGAGUAUGCCUGUUUGAGGGUCAGCCUAAAAAAAAUCGUACAUCAUUGAUGUUGCGGAUCUGGGUAUUCCGAUUUUAUAAUUGGUUACCUAAAAUUAAUAUGGUUAUGUAAUGUGAAGCGUACUAAUUAUAUAGUCGCUAAUCAUUUAUACUUAUAUUACAACUAUACGAAAGUAUAUGGUUGGUGUAUAAAUUAUGAGAAUGACCUCAAGUCAUGUGAGAGUACCCGCUGAACUUAAGCAUAUCAAUAAGCGGAGGA
rnacentral:misc_RNA from 1 species